rnacentral:rRNA from 1 species
GAUGAACGCUGGCGGCGUGCCUAAUACAUGCAAGUCGAGCGAACAGAUGAGGAGCUUGCUCCUCUGACGUUAGCGGCGGACGGGUGAGUAACACGUGGAUAACCUACCUAUAAGACUGGGAUAACUUCGGGAAACCGGAGCUAAUACCGGAUAAUAUAUUGAACCGCAUGGUUCAAUAGUGAAAGACGGUUUUGCUGUCACUUAUAGAUGGAUCCGCGCCGCAUUAGCUAGUUGGUAAGGUAACGGCUUACCAAGGCAACGAUGCGUAGCCGACCUGAGAGGGGGAUCGGCCACACUGGAACUGAGACACGGUCCAGACUCCUACGUGAGGCAGCAGUAGGGAAUCUGCCGCAAUGGGCGAAAGCCUGACGGAGCGACGCCGCGUGAGUGAUGAAGGUCUUCGGAUCGUAAAACUCUGUUAUUAGGGAAGAACAAAUGUGUAAGUAACUAUGCACGUCUUGACGGUACCUAAUCAGAAAGCCCCGGCUAACUACGUG